CACGUAUUUAGCCGGUGCUUCUUAGUCAGGUACCGUCAUUUUUCUUCCCUGCUGAUAGGGCUUUACAUACCGAAAUACUUCUUCACCCACGCGGCGUCGCUGCAUCAGGGUUUCCCCCAUUGUGCAAUAUUCCCCACUGCUGCCUCCCGUAGGAGUUUGGGCCGUGUCUCAGUCCCCAAUGUGGCCGGUCGCCCUCUCAGGCCGGCUACUGAUCGUCGGUUGGUGGGCUGUCACCCCGCCAACUGCCUAAUCAGACGCGGGCCCAUCCCAUACCGCUAAUGCUUUCCAUCCAGGGGCAUGCGCCCCCGCAUGUACAUGCGGUAUUAGCAGCCGUUUCCGGCUGUUAUCCCCCUGUAUGGGGCAGGUUACCCACGCGUUACUCCACCCGUCCGCCACUCAGUCAAAGGCGCUUCCUCCCGAAGGGAUUCCGCUCCAGUGCUUCGUUCGACUUGCAUGUGUUAAGCACGCCGCCAGCGUUCAUCCUGAGCCAGGAUCAAACUCU
rnacentral:rRNA from 1 species